rnacentral:rRNA from 1 species
GCAUAUCAAUAAGCGGAGGAAAAGAAACCAACAGGGAUUGCCCCAGUAACGGCGAGUGAAGCGGCAACAGCUCAAAUUUGAAAUCUGGCUUCGGCCCGAGCUUGUAAUUUGCAGAGGAUGUAUUUGGCGCGGUGCCUUCCGAGUUCCCUGGAACGGGACGCCAUAGAGGGUGAGAGCCCCGUCUGGUUGGACACCAAGCCUGUGUAAUACUCCUUCGACGAGUCGAAUAGUUUGGGAAUGCUGUUCUAAGUGGGAGGUAAAUCUCUUCUAAAGCUAAAUACCGGCCAGAGACCGAUAGCGCACAAGUAGAGUGAUCGAAAGAUGAAAAGCACCUUGAAAAGGGGGUUAAACAGUACGUGAAAUUGUUGAAAGGGAAGCGUUUAUGACCAGACUUGUGCCGUGUGGCUCAUCCGGGGUUCUCCCCGGUGCACUCCACACAGUUCAGGCCAACAUCGGUUCUCGUUGGGGGAUAAGAACAGUAGGAACGUGGCCCUCUUCGGAGGGUGUUAUAGCCUAUUGUACGAUACUCUGAUGGGGACCGAGGACCGCGCUUCGGCUAGGAUGUUGGCGUAAUGGUCAUUAGCGACCCGUCUUGAAACACGGACCAAGGAGUCGUCCAUUAGAGCGAGCGUUUGGGUGUAAAACCCGCACGCGUAAUGAAAGUGAAAUUAGGUGAGAGCUUCGGCGCAUCAUCGACCGAUCCUGAAGUUUACGGAUGGAUUUGAGUAAGAGUUUUAACGGACGGACCCGAAAGACAGUGAACUAUGCUUGAAUAGGGUGAAGCCAGAGGAAACUCUGGUGGAGGCUCGCAGCGGUUCUGACGUGCAAAUCGAUCGUCAAAUUUGAGCAUGGGGGGCGAAAGACUAAUCGAACUGUCUAGUAGCUGGUUACCGCCGAAU